rnacentral:rRNA from 1 species
UACAGAGGUCUCAAGCGUUGUUCGGAUUCAUUGGGCGUAAAGGGUGUGUAGGUGGCGCGCUAAGUCGGGUGUGAAAUUUCGAGGCUUAACUCGAAACUGCAUUCGAUACUGCCGUGCUUGAGGACUGGAGAGGAGACUGGAAUUUACGGUGUAGCGGUGAAAUGCGUAGAUAUCGUAAGGAAGACCAGUGGCGAAGGCGGGUCUCUGGACAGUUCCUGACGCUGAGGCACGAAGGUCAGGGGAGCAAACGGGAUUAGAACCUACCGUAGU